rnacentral:rRNA from 1 species
CGACCUCAGAUCGGGCGAGACUACCCGCUGAAUUUAAGCAUAUCAAUAAGCGGAGGAAAAGAAA